GGAAGGUGCCACAAAGUGAAACUGGCUUCUGGAUCUGCCGGGUGAGAGUGAAAGUAAAGGUCACUUUUUGGUCCCCUGAGACCAAGACGCGACGGCAGCUCAUCCCUCAGCCCCGCAUCCUUCCUUCCGAGCCCCGGAUCACGCAGACCUUACAGCCCAGCCAGAUGCGAGAAGACAGACCACAAGCUUACCUUCUGCCGGGUCCUAAUCAAAGUGACAAAGGAGACAAUUGGACAAAAGAUACUCUGCAAUCAAAGGGCUUCUCUUUCAAGUGGAAGCAAAUAAAUAAAAUAAAGCCCACCCUGAGGACACAGGCCUUGUCAA